AGUGCUGCUCUGCUCUCUCUCUCAAGAAAUCCAUCAACACUUCCACCACCGCAUUACUAAAAUUUUUAAAACGACCCUGAACUCCUCGACACUCCCAUUUAACUCCGGCGUCUCUUUCCCACAUCCAAAUUCACCUUCAUUUCUUCACCAAAUCAUGCUUUCACUCAACAUCCACGGCCACCUUGAAGAAGCAGACCCGUUUCUAUGUGCAUCUCAACUCGACCCAAGAAUAUUCCAGGCCCCCAGAAAAGAACUUCUCAUCUUCCGAAGCAGAGGACCUGGUUUCGUUCAAUCUUGAGAAUUCAGAGAGAACAAACCACUGGUGACUACUCUCGGUGUUCAGAUGGAUGCAAAAGCAGCGGUGGUACAUAGCGGACAAUGGGGGUCUAUUCUAAGUUGAUAUUAGUUAUGGGAGAAAAGGGGCAAACUCAGAUGGACACUGGCUUUUUCUGAGAUGCAUAAUAGUGGUUGUAGGCCUGAUACAUCGGUCUUCAAUGCACUGAUCACUGCUCACAACUUCACUUCCGGGAUAAAUCUAAGGCGGUGGCCAAGGAUCUGGGAUAUUUUGACAAGAUGAAGCGAAUGGAGCGUUUUAAACCCAAUGUUGUAACAUAUGACAUCCUUUUGCGAGCUUUUUCUCAGGCAAAAAAUGUUGGUCAAGUUAAAUGUUUUGUUUAAAGAUCUUGAUGAGAGCAUUGUGACCACCCCAGAUUUUUCACAUAUAAUGGUGUGAUGGAUGCCCAUUGAAAAAAUGGGAUGAUCAGGGAAAUGGAAUCUGUGCUUUCUAUUAUGAAGAGCAAUCAGUUGAAGCCAGACAUCAUCUCAUUUAAUUUGUUGAUCGAUUCCUAUGGGAGCAAGCAGGAGUUUGAAAAGAUGGAACAAGUGUUCAAGUGCUCGUUGCUUUCUAAUCACAAUCCAACACUUCCUACAUUCAAUUCCUUGAUUACAAACUAUGGAAAAACACGUCUCACAUCGUAAUAAGACACUUACACGUGAUAAAGUUUGGUUUAUAUCCCAUACAUCUAUGCAAAAACCCCGUCUUUCGCGAGCGCACCAAACACAUUGAUGUUAGAUUACAUUUUAUUAGAGAUAUUGUGUCACAAAAAGUGGUAAGACUUGAAAAGAUACAUACACAGUAUAACCCACCGGACAUGGGCAUUAAGGUGAUGUCAUUGGUGAAGUUUAGAAAUUGCAUGGAUCUUCUAAACAUUGGUGGAGGUAAUUAAUUUUUAAUUUUAUUGAUUCCUAAUAUUAGAAGUAUUAUAAACAGGUAAGGAUGUCAACAAGUCGAGUCGAAAUUCUAGGCUCAGGAUUGGCUGGAGUAAAAUGUCCAAACUUUUUUUCGGGCCCAAGCCGUUGCUCGACAAAAAAAUUAGGCUCGACCCGAGCUGUCUUUUCGAGUCAAGCCAGGUCUUUUGACACAAAGGUGAAGGUUUGUUAAGCAAAUUGUUGCCAAAUAACCUCCCCGGGCUAUAAUGUAACUUGGUAAUUUUCUCAAUCGGCAUCGAUCUAAUAAUUGAAGGAUAGAUUGACGCCAAAGUGAGAUGACUUGAUCUAAAAACUGUUUGGGCCAUUUGAAACAGCCUAAUUUUAAUUAGAGCUGCUUACGGCCCAUUUCGCGGCUAAUAUUAGAUAACCCAUUUAUGUGCCCAUUUAUAUCCAUAAUGGGCUCGACACCCUAAUUGAUACCUAUAUAUUCUUUGGGGCACUUGUCCUCUUGGUAAUAUGAAUUCACCCCUUUCUCUCUUCUCCGUGUGGGACUCUCUCUGUGUGGGUCUUCCUUACCGUUUUCUUCAUUGCCUUCGUGGUUAUCUCUCAUCUUCAUGAUUAUACUUUUCAUUACACAUCUUAAGUGGGUGAACUAAAGAGCAACUGUGAUCAAGAGGGUGGUUUGAGGGAUUUUGGAUGAUUUGCAUAUUGGUGUUGAUUUGAGGAGAAACUGAGCCCGGUUCAAGCCUUGGUGGUCAUCAUCUUCUGCACAACACUGUCAUUCUCUUAAGUUACUUGGGGUUUCUUGGUCUCCCAGCUUCACCAGACUAAUUCCUGGACCUCAAGCCUCCGGCCCCUCAUUAGCUUGAGGAAGUUGAUCGCGGGUUGUGCUCUUGUUGGCUCCCAGGUUCCUGCAUGACUUAUACUCCUUCCCCUAAGAGAGCUCUCUUCAUUGCUUUCCAGCACCUUGCCUUCGAGAUAAAUCCCCCUUCCAAGAUGCAGCCUUCCAGGAAUCGAACUCUCCACGCUAGGUACAAAUUUCCGAGAACAAAUGUAUGAAUGUUUUUAGACAUGCUACUAAUUCAAAGAUGCAUCUUUAAGUGAUGAAAAAUGCUGUAGAGGUGAUAUCUUAGGACAUACUUUGUUACACGUAACAUAGAUAUGUUAUAUGUUGUCAUGCUAAUGUUCCUUCUGCUCUAAGCAAGCUUUUGAUUUGUACUCAAUCCGUCUCAUAGAGAUAUAUGUGCUUUCGUAUUUCAUGUGUCUCAAAAUAUAAGUCACUUUUUUCUUUU